rnacentral:rRNA from 1 species
UGGGGAAUAUUGGACAAUGGGCGAAAGCCUGAUCCAGCCAUGCCGCGUGAGUGAUGAAGGCCCUAGGGUUGUAAAGCUCUUUCAACGGUGAAGAUAAUGACGGUAACCGUAGAAGAAGCCCCGGCUAACUUCGUGCCAGCAGCCGCGGUAAUACGAAGGGGGCUAGCGUUGUUCGGAAUUACUGGGCGUAAAGCGCACGUAGGCGGACAUUUAAGUCAGGGGUGAAAUCCCGGGGCUCAACCCCGGAACUGCCUUUGAUACUGGGUGUCUCGAGUCCGGAAGAGGUGAGUGGAAUUCCGAGUGUAGAGGUGAAAUUCGUAGAUAUUCGGAGGAACACCAGUGGCGAAGGCGGCUCACUGGUCCGGUACUGACGCUGAGGUGCGAAAGCGUGGGGAGCAAACAGG